AGACAAUUUUUUGAAAAAAAAUGUGCACGUCUUUGUAUGAUAGCAAUGCAAGUUUUUGCGUCAUUCUGGAAAAAAAAUUAUUAUUCGUGCGACUAGUGUAUCAGAGGGAAUUUUAAUUGCCUUCGUCUCCUACUACACAUUCGGAUAUGCUUAUCCAACGUGUCUAUCCAAAACAUUGGAAUUUAUUCAAAGAGUACUUUUUCGGAUAAAUCCUCCAGGAGAUAAACGUGCCGCUGGAUACAAAUGACGUGGUCGUAGCUAUGAUACCAGUGUCUAUCGUUUAUCUCAAGAAUUAAUGAAUUAUACGAGUGCAUUUUCUAUUCAGCCCGAUGAAUACAGGAGCUGAUUGAGAAAUGUUAAAUGUUACAUUUUAAGAAAAAAGACUAUUACAUGUUAAACAUUUUUUAUUUUUAAAAAUUGAUGGAGAAACUUCAUGAAUGUUUUAUUGUAAUUUAUAUAUAUUUAUAUAGAAAAUAAACUUAUGUC